rnacentral:rRNA from 1 species
CCGAGGAUGGGGCUACGGCCAUCAUGGUAGUUGGCGGGUAAUGGCCCGCCAAGCUACGACGGGUAGGGCCCUGGGAGGGGAGCCCCCAGAUGGACCUGAGACAAGGGUCCAGGCCCUACGGGGCGCACCAGGCGCGAAACCUCUGCAAUGCGGGAAACCGUGACAGGGUUACCCCAAGUGCUCCCGUUAAGGGAGCUUUUCCUCGCUGUAAGGGGGCGAGGGAAUAAGCGGGGGGCAAGACUGGUGUCAGCCGCCGCGGUAAUACCAGCCCCGCGAGUGGUCAGGACGAUUACUGGGCCUAAAGCGCCCGUAGCCGGUCUAGCAAGUUCUCUCUGAAAGCUCCGGGCCUAACCCGGAGAGCGGAGAGGAUACUGCUAGGCUAGGGGGCGGGAAAGGCCGGGGGUACUCCUAGGGUAGGGGCGAAAUCCGAUAAUCCUAGGAGGACCACCAGUGGCGAAGGCGCCCGGCUGGAACGCGCCCGACGGUGAGGGGCGAAAGCUGGGGGAGCGAACCGGAUUAGAUACCCGGGUAGUCCCAGCUGUAAACGAUGCAGGCUAGGUGUUAGAUGGGCGUUAGUGCCCAUCUAGUGCCGCAGGGAAGCCGUUAAGCCUGCCGCCUGGGGAGUACGGCCACAAGGCUGAAACUUAAAGGAAUUGGCGGGGGGGCACACAAGGGGUGGAGCCUGCGGCUCAAUUGGAGUCAACGCCGGGAACCUCCACCGGGAGCGACAGCAGGAUGACGGCCAGGCUAACGACCUUGCCUGACACGCUGAGGGGAGGUGCACGGCCGUCGCCAGCUCGUGCUGUGAAGUGUCCUGUUAAGUCAGGCAACGAGCGAGACCCCCGCUCUUAGUUGCUAUCCCAUAGGAGACUAUGGGGGCACACUAAGAGGACUGCCGCCGCUAAGACGGAGGAAGGAGGGGGCCACGGCAGGUCAGCAUGCCCCUAAACUCCCGGGCUGCACGCGGGCUACAAUGACGGGGACAGCGGGUUCCGACCCCGAAAGGGG